GCCCCUUUGGGAGCAUUCGAUAAAGAUGGAACACUACGAAGAAGAUUAGCAUGACCCCUCGAAAAAACGACACGCAUAAAUCAAGAAAUAUCAAAAAUGAUA